ACUCGGAAUAGCCUUUCGAAAGAAAGAUUAAUACCGGAUAGUAUACGGAUAUCGCAUGAUAUUUUUAUUAAAGAAUUUCGGUUAUCGAUGGGGAUGCGUUCCAUUAGUUUGUUGGCGGGGUAACGGCCCACCAAGACUACGAUGGAUAGGGGUUCUGAGAGGAAGGUCCCCCACAUUGGAACUGAGACACGGUCCAAACUCCUACGGGAGGCAGCAUG
rnacentral:rRNA from 1 species